rnacentral:rRNA from 1 species
CCUACGGGGGGCAGCAGUGAGGAAUAUUGGUCAAUGGGCGUAAGCCUGAACCAGCCAAGCCGCGUGAGGGAUGAAGGUUCUAUGGAUCGUAAACCUCUUUUAUAAGGGAAUAAAGACCGGGACGUGUCCCGUCUUGUAUGUAUCUUACGAAUAAGGAUCGGCUAACUCCGUGCCAGCAGCCGCGGUAAUACGGAGGAUCCGAGCGUUAUCCGGAUUUAUUGGGUUUAAAGGGUGCGUAGGCGGCUUUAUAAGUCAGCGGUGAAAGACCGGGGCUCAACCAUGGAAUUGCCGUUGAAACUGUGGAGCUAGAGAGUAGUGGCGGCAGGCGGAAUGGAUGGUGUAGCGGUGAAAUGCUUAGAUAUCACGCAGAACCCCGAUUGCGAAGGCAGCCUGCCAAGCCAUGACUGACGCUGAGGCACGAAAGCGUGGGGAGCAAACAGGAUUAGAUACCCGAGUAGUC